rnacentral:rRNA from 1 species
UGGGGAAUAUUGCACAAUGGGGGAAACCCUGAUGCAGCGACGCCGCGUGAACGAAGAAGGUAUUCGUAUCGUAAAGUUCUGUCCUAUGGGAAGAUAAUGACAGUACCAUAGAAGAAAGCUUCGGCUAAAUACGUGCCAGCAGCCGCGGUAAUACGUAUGGAGCGAGCGUUGUCCGGAAUUAUUGGGCGUAAAGGGUACGCAGGCGGCUUAAUAAGUCGAAUGUUAAAGAUCGGGGCUCAACCCCGCAAAGCAUUGGAAACUGAUAAACUUGAGUAGUGGAGAGGAAAGUGAAAUUCCUAGUAUAGUGGUGAAAUACGUAGAUAUUAGGAGGAAUACCAGUAGCGAAGGCGACGUUCAGGACACAAACUGACGCUGAGGUACGAAAGCGUGGGGAGCAAACAGG